AACCUGCGCACGAGCUCUGGAUGACAUUUCCAAUUAAAACGCUUUAUGUCGCCCAAAUAAAUGGAACUUUCGUUCCAUUUCUCAAUGUGCACGAUGCUGGAUGCAGAAUUUCUGCACGGUGCUCACAUAAAUACGGUUCGAGUUGAAAUGGGUAAUAACUUCUCACAUGCCACACGGACAUGGACACACAAACUGGACACAGUCAACCACAAAUGUAUUUGCACAAUUCACAAAAUGGGAAAAGCCAAUUAAAUUGGCAAGUGCAGCUCAAUGAGGCUCAGAGCGGCUCGAACCGGAAGAUAAAAACAAAUUUGCAUAGAUGAUUAAAAACUUUGGCCCCUGCCCCAUUCCCUUCCGGAUCGCUGGACCUAAGCGGCAGAGCGGUGGCCCCAAAGACUCCCCGCUCCUCCUCCGACGCUCCAUUGUGGGAUUUCCCAUCAACCUUUUCUGCGCAGGACUCGGACACACUCUCCACCAGCUAUUGGAGCAGCAUGAAUGGGAGCUUCCUUCGAAUCGCAGGCAAAUGGAUCUACUACGAGUAAAUGGAUGCAAACUGGCAUCUCGGGCUCUUGCUCAAACUUUUUAGCAGAAAGAAGCCAUAGACUCUAAAGUGCCCUUAUAUCCUCUACGAUUGGAAUGACCGUUGAGUGAGCACACGGCAAGCAGUCCAUGGAGCGACAGGACAGCCAACUCUUAGGGCUCUCGGCUGUUAUUUGCAAUCAAAUCUAUCCACUGGCUAUUUCUGCGCAUUUCUGAUUCUGAAACCACAAUUCCUCGUGUAUACCUACAACUAUCGAUCCACAGAGAAGCAUUGCUGCUCUUUUACUGUAAUCCAGAACCGAAUCCACACUAAAUGCAUCGUUCACUAUUAGCGGAAGUGAGCGCCGUAUAGCACGUACCACAACGCUGUGAUCAGCCCCCGGCAUACCCUUCUCUGCCAGCUUUAAGUGUUGCAGGACUUCUUUUUUGGGCACCCAAAAGCUCUAAAGAAGAUUUUUUGGAAGGAAGGCCCACAAAAGUUUACAGGAUGGAGGAUGGAGGAUGAUAGAGAGGUUUAUGAUUAAUGUAAUUUAUACAAUACUAGCGAGGGCUUCCAACAUAAGUAUCUCGGUGAAAGGUCAAACAACCGAUGUUUCCUUCAGUAGCGAUGGUAUCGCGCAACUGGAUAUUCUCUUCUGUUCGGAACUUCGACUGAUUGAAUCGAAUGAAAUUGAGACGCUCCGCUUCGACCUUUACGUACAUGUCAAUGCAGUACCGUUGAAGCAACCGGCGAUGUCUAAACAGAUGAUUGCCAACAUCAUGCCGAAUCAUCAAUCGAUACGCAUACAAAAUUAUUGAGCUGACUUUCCUAUUAGUUUCUUCUCCUGAAAUAUGAAUUCAAAUUUAGUUGUAGAAUGAAAAAUAAGGUGAUGAUUUGACUGGAGUGACCAUGUUGAAGACCACAUUAAAGUGUUCCUCUCCACGAUAGAACACCAAUGAGUAUUGAAGUGAGUCAUGUUACCGAUGAGUCUCGUACACGCAUUUCAAUAUCGUGUGAUUCCAAAUUGUCGCCAACAAUUACCACUGCGAACUCGGAUUGUAGCCGGGUUGAUCAACAGCUUCGGUUCCAAAUGUCGUUCAUAGUUGGAAAGCAUCCGAUAUAUUUUUGUCUAUUCCCCAGGAAAUGUUUUGAUUGGAUUGUAUUUCCAUGGAGAAACGAAUACAAUGGCAUUGCAUAUGUAUGCAUGUUACAAGACAGGACAAUAUGAACGCAGCGAAGAACUUUUUAGGCGGUUGCGGAAUCGUAUUCGAAAGCAGCUCGAAUCAAGUCAACAUUUACGACAUUUCCACUAACAUUUCGUCGAAUUUGCGGUGGUCAACUUAUGCCUGAUGGGUACUUCUCCUUUCAUCUGCACGUUCCUUUUGUGUUAGAUAAUAACGGACAUUCUGACUACUUAUUGUAUGAUGUGUACGUGGUUUAAGGUUUCAUCGUAUAAUAGCAGGCAUUAGUCAAGCAAAUAACUCAAUUGACUGUUUCAUCGAUUGAGAAUAAUAUCUCGAGCUUGGAAGUGAUCUCCGACUAAGAAAAUUGCUUCUUCGCAUACUAUUGUACGGCAAAGAUUUUUUUUCAUGGAUGAAAUAAUAAUGCAUUAACAUAAAUCAGCAAUUUGCAAGUUCCAUGCUGCUUGUUGCUUACAGUUCAUUGGACAUGUUAAACACAAAGGUUUUGCAUCUAUGAUGUCUUGAUCUUUCGCCCUUUCUGCAGUCGCUUUUCUUAAAAACAAACAAUUGAAAAAACUAUUUUUAUAUCUACGAAGCAACCAGUUCAGCUAUUUUUGUUUGCCAGGAACGCCGAGAAAAGGAACUAUGAAAAUGAAAUCGAUGAAAAAAAUUUGUGAAAACGGGAGCACGUGUAUAUUUCGUAUGGUAUAGCUGUUCGCAAUAGGGACGAAUUGAAUGUUUGCCAAACAAAAUUGAAAUCGGUCCAAUCGGGUGGAAGAUUUUUAUACAUUUUAGGAAUUUUAGCAAA